AGACAAAGUCAAAAAGGAUCAAGGACUAGCUCCAUUCAUAUGACAGUCCUGGGGGAUUUUUAAAGGAAGAGGAACCAGGGCCCUCCUAAAAACUCCUAAAGGAUUUUUUUCCACAAGGAAAAGACUAGUUCCCCCAAAUGAUUUUUGGGUUUCAGCAACACAAUCGGGGAUUUCAUAGGAGGCAGAGGAAAAAGCGAAUGGCCCCAGUGGAUGGGCACCACUGAGUUGCUCUUUGGUACCAACGUUGUUGGCCAGAUGAUGGAAAUGAGGAGAGACCAUUUCAUGCAGGAGAGAGACAGCUCGUGAAGAUGCCAAGAUUCAGAAUAUGGAGCAAGUAAUGAGAUCAAUCUCACUGGAUGUAUAUGGAUUGAAGAUACUAAACAGAUCGAGUUGGAGAGGACUUCAAGUAAAUUCCUAUGCCAACCUGCUGCAUAUGCUGUAUUUUUGUGGGUGAUGGGUAAUCUGCCACAAUCCUGGCAAAGCUUCUGCCUCACUGGGCAGUGAAGAAAAGCUUUGGCUGAGUGAUAAAAGAAGUCUAGAGGUCUCAGACUUAAAGUGGAGUUUCCUAGAUUCUCAAGUCUGAGCUUCAUAGAAUGGCUUAACUUGUCAAAAAAAAGAAAAAAAAGAAAAAUGCAGAAAAAGAAAGAUUUCAUU
rnacentral:lncRNA from 1 species